rnacentral:misc_RNA from 1 species
GUUUUGACUUGGAAUUAGUCUCUCUUCUCCUGAUAAGCUCACUUGACCGACUUCACUACCCCCAUUAACUCUCCUACUCCACCUAUAUAUACAUAUGCAUAAACCCUCUUCUCCGCUUAACUCAAUGCAUCUUUCCUAUCUCUUGUUCACACGUUUCAUAGGAAAAACAGCUUUCAUAAGUUCAUAAACCUUUGUUUUCUUUUAUUUUCUCGCCCUCUUUCACACUUUCUAGCUUCAAGAAUUCAAGAAUUUAAGAUCAAGAAUUCAAGAAUUCAUCUCUUAUGGCUCUUGAAGCUCUAAAUU